UACGUAGGGGGCAAGCGUUGUCCGGAAUCAUUGGGCGUAAAGAGCGUGUAGGCGGCCCGAUAAGUCCGCUGUGAAAGUCCAAGGGCUCAACCCUGGAAUGCCAGUGGAAACUGUCGGGCUAGAGUCCGGAAGAGGCGAGUGGAAUUCCGUGGUGUAGCGGUGAAAUGCGCAGAUAUCAGGAGGAACACCGGUGGCGAAGGCGGUUCUCUGGGCCUGUACUGACGCUGAGGAACGAAAGCGUGGGGAGCGAACAGG
rnacentral:rRNA from 1 species